rnacentral:rRNA from 1 species
ACGGAAGGCAGCAGUGAGGAAUAUUGGUCAAUGGGCGGAAGCCUGAACCAGCCAAGUCGCGUGAAGGAUGAAGGUAUUAUGUAUUGUAAACUUCUUUAGCUGUGGAGCAAUAAUCUCCAUGUAUGGAGAGAUGGGAGUACACAGAGAAUAAGGAUCGGCUAACUCCGUGCCAGCAGCCGCGGUAAUACGGAGGAUCCGAGCGUUAUCCGGAUUUAUUGGGUUUAAAGGGUGCGCAGGCGGCUUUCUAAGUCAGUGGUCAAAUCGUGGUGCUCAACGCCAUCCCGCCAUUGAUACUGGAGAGCUUGAUUGCGGUCGAGGUUUGCGGAAUUCGUCGUGUAGCGGUGAAAUGCAUAGAUAUGACGAAGAACACCGAUUGCGUAGGCAGCAGACCAGGCCGUAAAUGACGCUCAUGCACGAAAGUGCGGGGAUCGAACAGGAUUAGAUACCCUGGUA